rnacentral:lncRNA from 1 species
AAGUAGAAAAAAUAGAUACCAUUUCAUUUAUCCAUGUCCAAGAAAAAAUUAAAUUUAAAAAAUAAAACUAAGAAAAUAAGCAAAGAAUCAAAUAAAAAAAGUAACUUAUGGGUUUUGGGACGAGGACCUCUCUACAUUACUAGUGCGAACAAACCACUUGUACUAAGCUGCGAUCUAGUCUAAUAAACACGCCGUACUCUGUUAUACUAGCCGGAGAAUUUUUUUAGCCUGCUACGUUCUGAUUGGUGGAACCAGGCCUCCCCCGGAUCACGCCUCUCCACCGUUCAUUCUUACUCGAUCCAACGGUCCCUACUCCUUCUACUAUCUAUUUGUGCUUUCGUUGGUACCUUAUCCUCUCUCACGAACACGAGCACCAUACCAGCAGCAGCGCACUCGAGUACCUUCUAGGCUCUCCGCCGCUGACCGCCGCCGGCUGCACGACGGGCCGUCGCCCGCGCCUCCCACAGCAGCACGCCAGUGAGCCCCGCCUCGCGCUGCCUCUCUUUGGGUUGCUCUCCUAUCUCAUCUCUCUCUCUCUCUGCCUCUCCUUGCAGCAAUGGAGGCCGAGCGCCCAUGGCGUCACCCAAGGACACCUUCUAGCCGCCGUUCUCCUUCAAAUUCGUCGGGAUCCGGCCUGAUCCGGACGGAUCCGGAUGUCGGCGGCCCAUUCCCGACCUUCCUGCCUCGCCUGGUUUGUCGGCCACUCCGAUGUCGUCAUCUUCGUCACGGGAUCCAGCGCUACCGAUGGCUGGCCUCCUCCUCGCCUGGAUGUGCCCCCCCACGCUGGCGCCUCCAAUCCGAGCAGCGGCAGCGAACACCUCGACAAGGGCGUCUCCGGCGUCAUCUUUAUUUUAAUUUUAUUUUAAAGAAGUUUGCCCGAUCAGUGGCCAGAGAAAAUAUUAGUCUCUUCUAGAACAGCGGAGACUUUCUUAAUAAGCGCAUUAAUAUAUGAAUUAUAUUCAUAAUUAUCAUAAAAAAAUUUAAGAUAGCUAAAUUUUCAGGCCUAUAAACAUCAUCAUCAUAAGCUUCAUUUUUUCAAACAAAGAUUCAAUUUCAUAAGCACCCUUAAAAGCAACAAAUUCUUCUAUUUGUUCCACAUCAUAGUAAUCAUAUAUACCUCUAGCAUAAGAAGCAAAGGUUUCAUUAUCAUUUAAUUUGCAUAAAAA